rnacentral:rRNA from 1 species
AAACCGGAGCUAAUACCGGAUAAUAUUUUGAACCGCAUGGUUCAAAAGUGAAAGACGGUCUUGCUGUCACUUAUAGAUGGAUCCGCGCUGCAUUAGCUAGUUGGUAAGGUAACGGCUUACCAAGGCAACGAUGCAUAGCCGACCUGAGAGGGUGAUCGGCCACACUGGAACUGAGACACGGUCCAGACUCCUACGGGAGGCAGCAGUAGGGAAUCUUCCGCAAUGGGCGAAAGCCUGACGGAGCAACGCCGCGUGAGUGAUGAAGGUCUUCGGAUCGUAAAACUCUGUUAUUAGGGAAGAACAUAUGUGUAAGUAACUGUGCACAUCUUGACGGUACCUAAUCAGAAAGCCGCGGCUAACUACGUGCCAGCAGCCGCGGUAAUACGUAGGUGGCAAGCGUUAUCCGGAAUUAUUGGGCGUAAAGCGCGCGUAGGCGGUUUUUUAAGUCUGAUGUGAAAGCCCACGGCUCAACCGUGGAGGGUCAUUGGAAACUGGAAAACUUGAGUGCAGAAGAGGAAAGUGGAAUUCCAUGUGUAGCGGUGAAAUGCGCAGAGAUAUGGAGGAACACCAGUGGCGAAGGCGACUUUCUGGUCUGUAACUGACGCUGAUGUGCGAAAGCGUGGGGAUCAAACAGGAUUAGAUACCCUGGUAGUCCACGCCGUAAACGAUGAGUGCUAAGUGUUAGGGGGUUUCCGCCCCUUAGUGCUGCAGCUAACGCAUUAAGCACUCCGCCUGGGGAGUACGACCGCAAGGUUGAAACUCAAAGGAAUUGACGGC